rnacentral:rRNA from 1 species
GAUGAACGCUGGCGGCGUGCUUAACACAUGCAAGUCGAACGAAGCCCUCUAUUUGAUUUCCUUCGGGACUGAUUAUUUUGUGACUGAGUCCCGUACGUUCGAGUAACGCGUGGGUAACCUGCCUUGAAAAGGGGGAUAACAGUUGGAAACGGCUGCUAUUACCGCAUGAGCGCACAGCGUCGCAUUAUCCAGUUUGUAAAGCUCCGGCGUACUAAGAUGGGCCCGCGUUGGAUUAGCUAGUUGGUGAGGUAACGGCCUACCAAGGCGACGAUCCAUAGCCGACCUGAGAGGAUGACCAGCCACAUUGGGACUGAGACACGGCCCAGACUCCUACGGGAGGCAGCAGUGGGGAAUAUUGGACAAUGGGCGAAAGCCUGAUGCAGCGACGCCGCGUGAGCGAAGAAGUAUUUAGGGAUGUAAAGCUCUAUCAGCAGGGAAGAUAAUGACGGUACCGGACGAAGAAGCACCGGCUAACUACGUG